rnacentral:rRNA from 1 species
CCUACGGGGGGCAGCAGUGGGGAAUAUUGCACAAUGGGGGGAACCCUGAUGCAGCAAUGCCGCGUGAAGGAUGAAGGUUUUCGGAUUGUAAACUUCUUUUGUACGGGACGAAGAAAGUGACGGUACCGUAAGAAUAAGCCACGGCUAACUACGUGCCAGCAGCCGCGGUAAUACGGAGGGUGCGAGCGUUAAUCGGAAUUACUGGGCGUAAAGCGCUCGUAGGCGGUAUGUCAAGUCAAGGGUGAAAUCCCCGCGCUCAACGUGGGAACUGCCUUUGAAACUGGCAAACUGGAGUGUGUGAGAGGAUAGUGGAAUUCCAGGUGUAGGAGUGAAAUCCGUAGAUAUCUGGAGGAACAUCAGUGGCGAAGGCGACUAUCUGGCACAUAACUGACGCUGAGGAGCGAAAGCGUGGGUAGCAAACAGGAUUAGAUACCCCGGUAGUC